rnacentral:tRNA from 1 species
GGGAUCUUAGCUCAGCUGGGAGAGCAUCUGUCUUACAAACAGAGGGUCAUAGGUUCGAGCCCUAUAGGUCCCA